rnacentral:tRNA from 1 species
GGGUCGUUAGCUCAGUCGGUAGAGCAGUUGACUUUUAAUCAAUUGGUCGCUGGUUCGAAUCCAGCACGACCACCA